UACGUAGGGAGCAAGCGUUAUCCGGAUUUACUGGGUGUAAAGGGCGCGUAGGCGGGAUGGCAAGUCAGAUGUGAAAUCCAGGGGCUCAACCCCUGGACUGCAUUGGGAACUACCGGGCUGGAGUGCCGGAGAGGUAGGCGGAAUUCCUAGUGUAGCGGUGAAAUGCGUAGAUAUUAGGAGGAACACCAGUGGCGAAGGCGGCCUGCUGGACUGCAACUGACGUUGAGGCCCGAAAGCGUGGGGAGCAAACAGG
rnacentral:rRNA from 1 species